CUGCGAGAAAGUAAACUUUGGGCACGACAAGUCAUGAAGUCGGCACGUUGGGGAGACACCGUGUCACAAUGACAAGGUUUCUAGUUCGUGCUUUGUUCAGAUUGCCCAGAAGCUGAUGAUCACAGAGAAGAGGUCAUAUUUGUCAUGAGAAAGCUUUCCUGCACCAGGAUUCAGUAAAGGCGUUUACCAGCAGGGCCCAUGGUGCCUCCAGAGGCAGGAUGGUGCUCAAAACCCAUCACUGAGGCCAGGAAGUGAGGACAAAAGUUGAGGGCUGCCCAUAGGAAAGAGAAAAAAUGCUCCCUUUGGGUUUCCAAGUAGUUACUGCUUAUUGUUGCAUCAGUCUUGCUCCUGACCACGAUGUGUUCCUUGUUCAUUCUCCUUGGUAUCCCACUGAUUGUGCAUCUAUGAAAAAGAAGACAGGAUCGGGGGUGGUGCAAAGAACAACUGCAUCCUUCUAGAGCUGAUGCCCUGGUGAGCUCUGAAGCACACUUAGCAGAGCCUGAAAUCUACUCUCCCUGUGGGAUGGAGUCUCGUUCUGUCGCCCAGGCUGGAGUGCAGUGGCGCGAUCUCAGCUCACUGCAACCUCUGCCUCCCAGGUUCAAGCAAUUCUCCUGCUUCAGCUUCCCGAGUAGCUGGGAUUACAGGUGUUUGUGUAGCAUUCCUAUUAAUUAUUCAUUAAAUAUUUAGCAGAAUUUACCAGUGAAGCUAUCUGAACCUUUUUUAUGGGAAGGAAUUUUAUUAACCUCUUUACCUGUUGUAAGUAUAUUAAUAUAUUACCUUUCUUCUUGGAUUAAUUUUGAUAAUUUGUG